UCCGUGUUAUCCACGGCAGUCUCACUAGAGUGCCCAACUUAAUGAUGGCAACUAAUGACAAGGGUUGCGCUCGUUGCGGGACUUAACCCAACAUCUCACGACACGAGCUGACGACAACCAUGCACCACCUGUCUCCUCUGUCCGAAGAAGGGAACGGUUAAGUUCCUGUCAGAGGGAUGUCAAGUCCUGGUAAGGUUCUUCGCGUUGCUUCGAAUUAAACCACAUGCUCCGCUGCUUGUGCGGGUCCCCGUCAAUUCCUUUGAGUUUCACACUUGCGUGCGUACUCCCCAGGCGGAGCACUUAAUGCGUUAACUGCGGCACCGAAGUCUUGCGACCCCGACACCUAGUGCUCAUCGUUUACGGCGUGGACUAC
rnacentral:misc_RNA from 1 species